GACUAUCAGACAAGGAGUGAAUAUGAUUUGAACCUAAUACAUUUUUAGAGGCUGUCAAAUUCAGAACCAGGCAGAUCCAUCCCCUGACCCUAAAUAUGGUCCUAAAGUAAAUCACUUGAGGAAAUU